AUUGAACGCUGGCGGCAUGCUUUACACAUGCAAGUCGAACGGCAGCGCGGGCUUCGGCCUGGCGGCGAGUGGCGAACGGGUGAGUAAUGCAUCGGAACGUGCCCAGUAGUGGGGGAUAGCCCGGCGAAAGCCGGAUUAAUACCGCAUACGACCUGAGGGUGAAAGCGGGGGACCGAAAGGCCUCGCGCUAUUGGAUCGGCCGGUGUCGGAUUAGCUAGUUGGUGGGGUAAAGGCUUACCAAGGCGACGGUCCGUAGCUGGUCUGAGAGGACGACCAGCCACACUGGGACUGAGACACGGCCCAGACUCCUACGGGAGGCAGCAGUGGGGAAUUUUGGACAAUGGGGGCAACCCUGAUCCAGCCAUGCCGCGUGCGGGAAGAAGGCCUUCGGGUUGUAAACCGCUUUUGUUCGGGAAGAAAUCCUCUGGGCUAAUACCCCGGGGGGAUGACGGUACCGGAAGAAUAAGCACCGGCUAACUACGUG
rnacentral:rRNA from 1 species